UACGUAGGGGGCAAGCGUUAUCCGGAUUUACUGGGUGUAAAGGGAGCGUAGACGGUUAUGCAAGUCUGAAGUGAAAGCCCAAGGCUCAACCAUGGGACUGCUUUGGAAACUGUAAAACUGGAGUGCAGGAGAGGUAGGCGGAAUUCCUAGUGUAGCGGUGAAAUGCGUAGAUAUUAGGAGGAACACCAGGGGCGAAGGCGGCUUACUGGACUGUAACUGACGUUGAGGCUCGAAGGCGUGGGGAGCAAACAGG
rnacentral:rRNA from 1 species